GAACACCAUGACGGUACCAGAGGAAUCAGCAUCGGCUAACUCCGUGCCAGCAGCCGCGGUAAGACGGAGGAUGCAAGCGUUAUCCGGAAUGAUUGGGCGUAAAGCACUCGCAGGUGGCAAUUCAAGUCUGCUGUUAAAGCGCAGUGCUUAACUCUCUAAAGGCAGUGGAAACUGAAUAGCUAGAGUGUGGUACCCGCAGAGGGAAUUCCCAGGGUAGCGGUGAAAUGCGUAGAGAUUGGGAAACACAUCGGUGGCGAAGGCGCUACUCUGGACCUUAACUGACACUCACAGGACGGGAGCUAGGGGAGCGAAUGGGAU
rnacentral:rRNA from 1 species